ACACCGGUAACUGUGUUUCCUUUUAGAGUUGACCACCAUGUGCCGAGAUGUUGCAUCACAACACAUGAAAGUAAAGAAUACCCAACUUUCACAUUGUUUCAGCAUCUCAUUCAGAAACUCUAAUCAAAAUUCAUUUAAAGAACAGCAACCUGAACGAUGUGAAAUAUGAAUUAUGUACAUCAUAUUUUUUUUAAUAUAGCGUGUUUGAAAUGUAAAAAACCAACAUCCCUCACAUUUUAUGCUUUUUAUCACUAUUAUAAACAGGGUGCCAUAUACUGCUAUAGUUUCAAAUAGUGAAAUCUUGACUGAUUUCUGCCUAAGUAUUUCACAAAAUAUUAAAUACAACGAUAUCCAGCUGCGCAUAAGUUAUUAUACCAUUUACAUUUCUUCUAAAUCCUUUAGACAUGGCUCACAUGAGUAUUAAUUUCUCGGUAAUUUCGGAAUUUCAAUUUUCCACUCGACCACUCCUACGAUGAAUAACAGUGCCAUAUAAAUCGGUAGAUAAUCUUCAAAGGUUUCUCAUACCAACACAUCUUUCAAGGACGAAUUAUAUAAACAUGUUAAUAACAACUUCAGUAAAGGAAAACUGUUAUGAGCAAAAUAACAAGUGUUUCUCGUGCCGAUUAUUUUCUGAAACACUCGGGCGCCAUCUUGAAAUUUGAGUUCGGGGGGGUGAAUGCCUCUCUUUCGCGCACUGGCUAAGCUUUUGGCGGCCGGUUACACUUUUUUGGCUGAGUUCCACCUCUGUGUAG